UUGACGGAGAGUUUGAUCCUGGCUCAGGACGAACGCUGGCGGCGUGCUUAACACAUGCAAGUCGAACGAGAUCCAAUGUGUAGCAAUACACAGGAAGAUCUAGUGGCGAACGGGUGAGGAACACGUGAGAAACGUACCCCAGACUCUGGGAUAACAGUCCGAAAGGACUGCUAAUACCAGAUGACGUCGGAGGUCCGCAUGGACCACUGACGAAAGGGAUUCCGGUUUGGGAGCGUCUCGCGGACCUAUCAGCUAGUUGGAGGGGUAACGGCCCACCAAGGC
rnacentral:rRNA from 1 species